UACGUAGGAGACGAGCGUUGUCCGGAGUUACUGGGCGUAAAGGGUGCGCAGGUGGCGGCGCGCGUGGGGGGUGAAAUCGCCCGGCUUAACUGGGCGGGGGCCUUCCAGACGGCGUGGCUUGAGCAGCGGAGGGGGACGUGGAAUUCCGGGUGGAGUGGUCGGUAAGAAGUCGGCUGAUGAAGGAAUACCGGUACGGUGGAAGGCAAACCCAAACCGGGUGGCCGGAAA
rnacentral:rRNA from 1 species